UACGGAGGGUGCAAGCAUUAAUCGGAAUUAUUGGGCGUAAAGGGCGCGUAGGCGGAAUGGCAAGUCAGAUGUGAAAUCCCGGGGCUUAACCCCGGAACUGCAUUUGAAACUGCCAUCCUAGAGGGUAGGCGGAGAAAACGGAAUUCCACAAGUAGCGGUGAAAUGCGUAGAUAUGUGGAAGAACACCAGUGGCGAAAGCGGUUUUCUAGCUUAUUCCUGACGCUGAAGCGCGAAAGCAAGGGGAGCAAACAGG
rnacentral:rRNA from 1 species